UCACGAAAAUCCUCCUCCUUGGCAGCAGCCAAGGAGGGGGAAACACUCAUCUAUACCAGCACCAACUCAAGGAAGAAGAAGGCUAAGUGGCGGCGCUCCCCCAUGAUGCCGGCGGCGGGGAAGGAGUCCCCCGCGCCGCCGCCGGCGCCGCCCACGCCUCCGCCUCCCGGCUCUCCUCGCUGAGCCCUCCAACGUAUUCACCGCCAUCUCCAUCACCAACUCCUCAUUGUAUUCAGUGGUCCAUCCUCUCACAAACCUCUAUACAGCCCCUAUGUAAACAUGGUGUUUGAUGCUACAAGUUAUAAUCCUAUGAUCUAUGUCAUGUUACCAUAGUUUAUUUGUUCUUUGAUUGAUUGGUUGUUUCUCUUUGGUUCAUUAGAGUUGUAUGUUGAUAUGUUACCGUCCUUGGUGCCCAUUAUAUUUGUGCGCGCAUGGAUCAAGCACCAUAGGGUUGGUGGUACUUGUAUACUAGAAGGGGGAAGUUCUGCCGGAGUUGCAUGUAUGGGAGUAAGAGGACCAUUUACUUAAGGCUAUGGUUGGGGAAACCUUAAUGCUUGCUAGUAUUUACGGAUGUUUGCUAGCAAGCCAAUCAUAUAGUACUUGUAAUCCCGGAGGGAGAGCAUGUAUAUUUAGCCUCUCCUACAUAGAAAGCUGCAUCGAAGACAUUGAACCCAAGAUCUUCACUAAUUGAUCUUGGACAAAGCCACCACUAUUACCAUCGCCUUUCCACACUCAUGGUACUGUUAGUUUAGUUUCUUUUAUUGCAGCAGCACUAACAUUUAUUCCAUGUAUUUUAUUGUUCUGCAAAGUCACCUCUCAUACCCGUUAUCGCUCUAGUAUUAUUUUCUAGAUAUUGCAAACGCUUAGUGUGCGUAGAGUUGUAUCAGUGGUUGAUAGAACUUGAGAGAAUGUUUAUCCUACCUUUAUCUCCUCGUUGGGUUCGACACUCUUACUUAUCGAAAAGGCUACACGCGAUCCCCUAUGUUUGUGGGUUAUCAAGACCUUUUUUGGCGGCGUUGCCGGGGAGCCAUAGCGUAGGUGAAUAUUUUCGUGUGCACUUGUUUGCUUUAUCUCUAAGUAGUUUUACUUCCUGUACCUAGUUGUUCUCUAUCUCUUGUAUGGAUAGGGAAUGCGAUUUACAAAAAAAAUAAGUUAUACUUCUUAUAUAAAAAAAUAAAAAAAUGUUUUCAGAAAAGAAAAGUGAUUGGAAAGAUGAGUAAUGGUGAAGUGGGGGUCGACCUUGAACACUUGUGUUCAUGCCUGCGAAACAAAAACAAUUCUUUCCAUGGAAGCUUUUUAUUAAAAACUUGUAAAUAGUGUAUAUAGUGUAUAUAGUGUACAUAUCCCGCUGUAAAUAGAAUGUAUAGAUAACAUCUAGUUUGUUAUGCAAGAUUGUCACUAUGCUGCCUAGAAAACAGAUUUCCUGUGUUCCACUGUAGAAAAUUUUAAAAAUCACCAAAACUUCAUCUUGAUCUGAAAUUUCUUGAGUGCAUAGUAGUUCUUGCUAUCUAACUUUAGUUAGUUCUGACUUUUUUGAUUUGAGGUACGUAGACAGAUCUAAUAAUUCAAUCUUUACGGACUGAUUCUGUUGAGACAGAUUUCCUGUGCUGUGCUGCAAAAAUUCGUGAAAAAUCUCAGUAUGGCAUUUUGAUCUGAUUUUUUUUGUGUGCAUAGACCUGAGGUUAUGAUCUGUCUUUCAUUAAUCAUGAGUUUUUCGAUUUGAGUUAUGUAACUAUCUCAUUUAGUGACAUCUUUACAGAGUGUUCAGUUUUGACAGAUUUCGAUUCUCUUUGUUUAAAUAUUGUACUUAGGAUUCAAAAGUUUCCUUCGUUUUCGACGUUCGAUUGAAUAAUAAGAAACCUCAGUAUUACAGUGGCUAAAUAUUUGAUAGAUUUUAUAGAAAUUAGGGAUACUUGAACACUUGUGGAUUUUAUUUAAUGAGUACUAACCUACUAAUGAGUUUUGUGAAGCUUUAUGUGGAUGCAGUUUUUAAGUUCCAAUCAAUAUGGUGAUAUGAGAUGAGCAAGAGAAUGCAAGAGCUCAAGCUUGGGGAUGUGUAGAUGGAUCCCAAGAGAAUAUUCAAGAAGAUGUAAAUAUCUAAGCUUGGGGAUGCCCAAGGCAUCCCCCUAUUCAUCAACCAACAUGAGGUUGUCUCCUUCAAACUCAAUAUUACCCAUCCACAUGUAAGCAUUGUAUAUAGUUGCUUUUAUUAUCUUUGGUUUUAUCCUAUUUAGUUUUAUUAGGUUCUUUAUUUGGUUCUUGUUUCUUUAUCAGUUUCACUUAUAAUGGGAAAACAACAAAAAAAGGGGGUUUGAGAGCUCCAUCAAAUAAUCAUGCCCAUCUUAAAUGGCUAUAAAGAAAGAGUUUUAUGGGAGACAACCCAAUAUGUUUAUAUUUCUGUUAUUUACUGCUUUGUUGAGUCUUGGAAGUCAUUACUACUGUAAUGACCUCUCCUUAUCAUGUUUGUUUUGUUUUUGUGCCAAGAAUUGCCUCUAAUGGUAAGAAAGUGGUAUUUGGGGGAUUUGCAAUCUUGUUUACUGUUUCUGAUUUGUCACGAGAAAAAUCUCCAAAAAUCACCAGAACGUAAGUUUGAGCUGCCAAUUUACGAGCAUCUUCCCCAGGUAUUUAUCUAACUUUCAUUAGUUCAGAGUUUUUCAAGUUACAGAGCGUAACUAUUUUUAAAAAAUCAAUUUUUACGAACUGUUCUGUUUUGACAGAUUCUUGCACUGUUUUGCAUUUGCAUAUUUUUGCCCACCUUUUUGAGUUCUCUUGAUCAAAGAACCUUAUUGAAGUUGUGAUACAGUAGCUAAUGCUUAUUAAAAUGCUUUUCAUAUGUCAUACUGAACUUUGUAGAUUUGAUUAAUAUUAUCAUUGCACUAACGCUGCUAAUGAGAUUUGUGAUGAGUUUUGUAUGAAGGAAGUUUUCAAGUGUAGGAAAGAAGAAUGAUGAGAUGAGAUGAAGAAUGGACAAAAUAUCAAGCUUGGGGAUGCCCAUGUAAACCCAAGAUAUAUUCAAGAAGUACAAGCGUCAAAGCUUGGGGAUGCCCAAGGCAUCCCCUUCUUCAUCAAUAAAAAUAUCAGAAAAUAGGCAAAUAUGGAAGGAAAUAGCUCAUUAUGGUGAAAUCUGGAAUUUCCCGGAAUCUAUCCCUACUGAACACUUUUCAAAGAUCGCUUCGAAACUCCAUCAAAACGACGUUCAAUGGAAAAGUCGUAAACUACAAAGUUGUAGAGAAUUUCAAACCGAACAAUUUGGACAUCUUAUUCGUCCAGAAAGGACAACGGAUGCAUCCGGGAAAGCGGAAUUACUGCGGAGGUUCGUGUAGUCUCGGGACUCCGAAAGUUGGUGACGUAUUUGACACAAACUCUUUCCAUACCUGGAUAUUUCAGCCCAGCCAAGAGUUGUGAGGCUCAUGAAGGACAGAGGCGAGUCCUAGGAAGGUUCUAGAGGUGCCCAAGAGCCUUGGAUCAAAGGGGCAUCCAUCCCAUGGCCUAGAUUGCAUCUUCAACACUAUAUAUUGAUGGGAAACCCUAUUUUGUGAGUCCCCCAAGCAUUGUCACGAAAAUCCUCCAGCCAAGGAGGGGGAAACACUCAUCUAUACCAGCACCAACUCAAGGAAGAAGAAGGCUAAGGGGCGGCGCUCCCCCAUGAUGCCGGCGGCGGGGAAGGAGUCCCCCGCGCCGCCGCCGGCGCCGCCCACGCCACCGCCUCCCGGCGCUCCUCGCUGAGCCCUCCAAUGUCUUCACCGCCAUCUCCAUCACCAACUCCUCAUUGUAUUCAUUGGUCCAUCCUCUCACAAAUCUCUGUACCGCCCUAUGUAAACAUGGUGUUUGAUGCUACAAGUUAUAAUCCUAUGAUCUA